rnacentral:lncRNA from 1 species
UUGGUUCUUCCUUCUUUAUUUCCUUCUUCAUAAACUUAUAAAACUUUUCAAUUUAAUCGUUGGAAAUAGUAUCAUCAUCGCUUUCCGAAUCACUUACUUCUACUCUUUUAGAAGAUGAGGCUUUGAAGGCAAUAUCUGGACUUUUCUCAUCUCCAAAUGAAGGUUUAAAAAUUGUGCUUUCAUAAGUUUUGAGAUUACCUCUUAGUCCAUCAAUUGUGACGUCCGUGAUUCCUAUCGACUCU